CCCAAUAGGCUGGUUUUGCUUCCAAUAAGGAUUAAUUAUAUCUUGGAAUUGGGACAGCAUUAUAAUGUCAUCAUGGGUACAAAGUGAUCCGAAAAUUUGAUUUGGGGAACUCUAUUUAUUUUAAAAGGUGUUUUAGCUUCAGUGUAUUGUACUGUCAAUAAAAAUUUGAAGAUUUUAUUUUUGGGGGGAUUUCUAUGCUGUUCAUAUGGUUUACAAUAUACCACCCUCUGGGUUUCUUACCAGUGAGACGUUGGUUAUAGGUUUAGCUGAUCUUUUCAAUUAAAGCGGCAAAAAUACUAAAUAGUGAUCAUUCUUGUAUUCAUUUUUACACACAUAUUUGUACAGUAUAUGUAUAUAUAUAGUAUAUAGUCUGUGUGGCUUUUUAAUAUUGGCAAUGUAAUAUCUACUAGUUUAUCCACAUUGUCUGGCAGCCAAAUAGAAGCUGGGUUAGAACUGUAUUUUGUUGUCUGUAAUGGUACAAACCCUUGGCUGGGAAAAAAGAAAUAACUAUUACUUCAAACUUGGCCUAAACAAGGCAGAAGAUAAAUUAUUAGUGAAUAUGGUUCUUUUAGCCGAAGAACGAUUCAGGACUCUACACCUUUUUUUGUUGUUGCUACAAACAAAUUUUCACUUCUACUGUACACAAAUCUUAAUGAUUUAUUUUUAUGGUUAGUGGAACAGAAAGUACUUGUAUGUAUUAACUGAUAGCUUAAGUUGGAAUACGUUGGAAAAUAGAGUCAAUGUAAGCCUGUUAUUGACAAUAUAGAUGUUUAGAUCACAUUACAGGUAGCUAAUAUACAGUACAGCAGAUAUUAUACAAUGGAAAUGUGAAUAUUGCCUUUUAUGGGGUUUUUUUUUUCAUAACCACUGAUAUCUUUUCUCUUGUCAUUUCAGAAUCAUUUGGCAAAUAAUUCAAACAAUUUACAACUAUAUAUAUGACAAAAUCUUUAGAUUCGCUUAUUUUAUCAGUUCAAAGCGCAUCCAACAUGAAACAGAUCAGUACUUUUUUGAAAAAGAGGAUAUUGAAAAACAGGAUGAAAAGCUUGAUGAACCGGAUUUCCCUAAACUCGGCAAAUGUUGCUCGAUACUUCUUAUUAUUGCACUUGCUUUCCUUAUGGCAGUGAGUAAUACGGACAACAUCAUUUAUAAAUCUGUCCGUCCCUACAUAGAAGAGGAAUUCGAAAUAACGGACUUUUAUUCGUCAGUUAUAACUCUAAUGUUUGUUGGCAGCUGUGCAACCAUGGCCCCGAUAUUAUUUUAUUUCUGGAGUACCUUCACCGGACUAAGAGUAAUAUCAGGAGUUGUCGCCGUAAUGGUCAUGUUCGGCAUUGGCAGUACUUUAGUUUCAGAGAAGGUAAUAAUCUGUUUAUGACAGCCAAUGGCAUUUCAAUUCACUAAACAUGUAAAGACAGUACCUACACAGCAAUUCAUUUUGUUCACUCUGUAUCCUAUCAAUGCAUGAGUUUCUAAUUUGUAU